GGGCACUCUGAUGGGACUGCCGGUGACAAACCGGACGGAAAGGUGGGGAUGACGUCAAGUCCUCAUGGCCCUUAUAGGUGGGGCUACACACGUCAUACAAUGGCCGGUACAAAGGGCAGCCAACCCGCAGGGGGAGCCAAUCCCAUAAAGCCGGUCGUAGUCCGGAUCGCAGUCUGCAACUCGACUGCGUGAAGUCGGAAUCGCUAGUAAUCGUGGAUCAGCAUGUCACGGUGAAUACGUUCCCGGGUCUU
rnacentral:rRNA from 1 species